ACUGCUUUGAGCCCAACCAGCUCCGUCAGUUCCUAAAAUGUCUCCGAUCUGCAGUUAGUUAUUUCAUUUCCUAUAGUCCUUCCUUACGAUGCUUCUGAAACCAGAUUACUUCUGACAGCCACACAGACUGGGACCUCUCUGAGGACAGCAAAUGAGUCUCUCACAGGACCGGUUGUUCGAGAUCAGUUUUUCUCAACCUGUAGUCACAACCCCUUCACAGAGGUCGCCUAAGACCAUUGGAAAACACAGAGUGCAGACCGGAGGAUCUCAGUCAGCCAUGCUGCAAUGUAUGGGCAACACAGGGGUGACACCCAACCCCUUCUUCUGUUGGGCACCCAAUCUGUAUUGUCUCUGAUUUGGUGCAGAAAACAGAACCGAGGAGAAACUAUGCAGCAGCCAGAGUUAGAGCAAAGCCGUAGAGAAGAUGCUAAUUGUGGGAGGUGAUGGAUGUGUUAUUGUCGCCGUGGCAACCAGUACAUAGCAUGUAGUCAGCCCACUGUACGCCCUGGAUAUGUAAAAUUUUUGUCAAAUGAACAUCUCCGAAUAAAAUCCUAUUUUCGUAAAAUGUAAACAAAAAGCAA